UUGAUCUGCCAGGCGUGCAGGCCGCGGGCGUGGCCCACCUUGCCGCGGAUGCCGUCGGUGCUCUGGGCCACGGGGUGCCGGUGGAAGAUGAGAACACUGAAGUCAGAGAGAGGAUAAGCGAUUAGCCGAAGUCCCACUGCAAAUAAGUGACUGAGCCAAGAUUCAAACCAAGGUCAUCUGGCUUCAGGGUCUGUGUUCCGGACCUAGAACAAUCAUAGGGAGUCUGAUUUUAGAAAUAAGGCGUGAGCCCAGAGCAGUUGUGACUUGCUCAAGGUCAGAGCCUGGAUGAGAACCCAGGUGCUUUUGAUCCCAGGGGACAAGCCUUGUGCCAAGGC
rnacentral:lncRNA from 10 species